UUCAUAGGUGAAAUUCAAAAAAGAGGUCCCGGUGCAAAACGCUCAGUGCGUGUGGAUUCACAUCGACGAGCAAAAGUUCCGAGUGUGUGCAAUUAGUUCCCUUCUUGCUUGCGAGGGAGCGCUGGGGCUUAAACUGUGAGCGGUGGCUCAAGCUGCACCUGCUCGCAAUAUUGAUAGCCUACAGUUUCUUUUGCAAAAUGUUUUUUACUUAAGUUGGCUUCAUUUUCUUACAUUAAUGAAAAAAAAAACUAAAUAGGUAUCGAUGCUUUAUUCAAUCGAGGUUGUUUCUUUGGGAAUUUAAAAGUAAUAUAUAGUUCGGUUCGGGAUUUAAAAUAUCUCUAUUUUAUAAUACUUACUGACGACACGAAUACCUAGUCGCUAUAGCCGUAAGAUAGUUUCAACUUAUAACACUAACUAAAUAACCCAUAAAACAUAUUAUAUGGACGUUCUUGUCACAAUAUCCAAUGGAAUAUAAGCUUUUAGUACGACGGCAGUCUCAGAGCUCGAAACACUGAGCACAGUAAUACUGGUAAAUCCGGUACUGCAAAGAUUUAUCCAUUGUAAUAUUUAUCCUUCCCGACCGCUGUGCCACUGGUCCUGUAACGCUGUAUACUCACCAGAGCAACAGUGUUGUUGUUCUGUUGCAGCCAGCGCAGUAUGGCGCUGGCGGUGGUGAAGUCAGGGCGCGGCGGCGGCGGGAUCGCAUGCUGCAGUGAGCUGGCCAGCUGUUGAGCCAGGUCGAGCGCGCGCGCGCGGGCCGACCGCCCCGAUCCGCUGUUCGUCGUGCCCACUACUCCAGUGCCACCCGCUUCUGAAAUAAACAAUAUUUGAAACAUUCAGAUAUUUAGGGUUUAUAACAAUUGCACCCUGCAAUUUUGAAAUGAACAAACACGACACAUGAAGCCAGUCGUCUUCGGUUAUCGCCAAUGAUUAGUAUUAUAAUAAUUGUAUAAUGUUUCUACUUUUUAUUUGAAUAUAAUAAAAAUUUUACUAAUCAAAUUCCUACAUCGAUCAAGUAUUAAAAUAAAAGUAGAAAUUGUGUUGAAGGUGCGAAUUGUUUGAAUGGAAAACACUAAAGGUUCAAAAUGAAAUAAGUCGCAUAACUCUUUAUCUAUAUAGUGACAUCUCCUAGUGGAGCGAGGUCGAAUCUUAAUUUAUCGAAGUUAAAGCGGAGUGUUCCAAAUUAAGGAAGUUAGUCAAGAGCACCGCGAAUGCCUUGUGAAAAUCGAACUUUGCAGUUUCAGUUGUUAUGACAUUAACGAGUUGGUUGAGAUACCGGAGUUACAUGCCUCCGGAGUUAGAUGGUAAGCUGCUGCGUUGGGGAGUUGACGCGUGCGCAAAGAGCGCUAACCGACAAAACGUCCAAACGGAGCAGCGUUCGGCGGCGGACUGGCGCCAAGCGGACGGAAACCUCCCCUGCGCUCAACAGUUUGCACCCUCCCACGACAAAGACACCCCUAUUAGAUAUGAUGAUGAGGAUAUGAACUUGAAUUAUAUAGAAUUCCUCUUCAAAACUCUUAUUUCUUAACAAAAUUUGAGCCCUCAUUUAUUAUAAAAAUAAUAAAUGGGUAUUUGUAAAAAAAAUGUUGAAAUAACUUUGGUAAUAUGCGAGUUAUCAUAUAAAUAUAUAUAUUUUUAAUUGCUUUAUUAGUAGUGACUUGCAUCACCCCACUAGGACAACAUGUAUAAAAAAUAUCCUAAUGAUAGUGUUUGAUGCUAGGCUAUGAUUUAUAAAUUCUAGCUACAAUAUAUAUAAUUGGUAUCUAAAUUAAGUCUGUGAAUAUGUGCUUCCCUGGGCAGGUCAACAGAUAUAUAACUUAUAACUAGGAACUAUAAGAAAAUAAGUAAAAUAAAAGGAUUCAUAUAAGUAUGAGAAGCUUUUUUUAUUAUUUUAAUUUAAUACUUUGAGUGCUGAAAACAUAUGCUGU